GAUGAACGCUGGCGGCGUGCCUUAUACAUGCAAGUCGAGCGAACGGACGAGAAGCUUGCUUCUCUGAUGUUAGCGGCGGACGGGUGAGUAACACGUGGAUAACCUACCUAUAAGACUGGGAUAACUUCGGGAAACCGUAGCUAAUACCGGAUAAUAUUUUGAACCGCAUGGUUCAAAAGUGAAAGACGGUCUUGCUGUCACUUAUAGAUGGAUCCGCGCUGCAUUAGCUAGUUGGUAAGGUAACGGCUUACCAAGGCAACGAUGCAUAGCCGACCUGAGAGGGUGAUCGGCCACACUGGAACUGAGACACGGUCCAGACUCCUACGGGAGGCAGCAGUAGGGAAUCUUCCGCAAUGGGCGAAAGCCUGACGGAGCAACGCCGCGUGAGUGAUGAAGGUCUUCGGAUCGUAAAACUCUGUUAUUAGGGAAGAACAUAUGUGUAAGUAACUGUGCACAUCUUGACGGUACCUAAUCAGAAAGCCACGGCUAACUACGU
rnacentral:rRNA from 1 species